rnacentral:rRNA from 1 species
GACGAACGCUGGCGGCGUGCCUAAUACAUGCAAGUCGAACGCAGUGGGGACGGGUGAGUAACACGUGGGUAACCUCCCAUCAGAGGGGAUAACAUUUGGAAACAGGUGCUAAACCGCUACUGCUGGAUGGACCCGCGGUGCAUUGGCUAGUUGGUGAGGUAACGGCUCACCGGGGCCACGAUGCAUAGCCGACCUGUGAGGGUGAUCGGCCACACGGGAACAGAGGCGCGGUCCAGACUCCUACGUGAGGCAGCAGUAGGGAAUCUUCGGCAAUGGACGAAAGUCUGACCGUGCAACGUCGCGUGAGUGAUGAAGGGUUUCGGACCGUAGAUCUCUGUUGUUAGAGAAGCGGGAUCUAACCAGAAUGCCACGGCUAUCUACGGGCCAGCAGCCGCGGUAAUUC